UACGUAGGUGGCAAGCGUUAUCCGGAAUUAUUGGGCGUAAAGAGCGCGCAGGUGGUUGAUUAAGUCUGAUGUGAAUGCCCACGGCUUAACCGUGGAGGGUCAUUGGAAACUGGUGAACUUGAGUGCAGAAGAGGGAAGUGGAAUUCCAUGUGUAGCGGUGAAAUGCGUAGAGAUAUGGAGGAACACCAGUGGCGAAGGCGGCUUCCUGGUCUGUAACUGACACUGAGGCGCGAAAGCGUGGGGAGCAAACAGG
rnacentral:rRNA from 1 species